rnacentral:sRNA from 1 species
GUGGAAACGAGAGCCCGCCGCAAAUAUUCUCCCCCACAAGGGGGGA